UACGUAGGGGGCAAGCGUUGUCCGGAAUUAUUGGGCGUAAAGAGCGCGUAGGCGGUCCGAUAAGUCGGCUGUGAAAGUCAGGGGCUCAACCCUUGAAAGCCGGCCGAUACUGUCGGACUAGAGUCCGGAAGAGGCGAGUGGAAUUCCCGGUGUAGCGGUGAAAUGCGCAGAUAUCGGGAGGAGCACCAAUGGCGAAGGCAGCUCGCUGGGACGGUACUGACGCUGAGGCGCGAAAGCGUGGGGAGCAAACAGG
rnacentral:rRNA from 1 species